GCACCCGUAGCUCAAUUGGAUAGAGCAUCUGACUACGGAUCAGAAGGUUAUAGGUUCAACUCCUAUCGGGUGCGCCA
rnacentral:tRNA from 1 species